CAUCUUUUAAUCAUCGUUCUCGAAUCGUAAUCUCUCAGAGUGACCGUAGCUUUUACACGGUUUACACAGCUCGUGAACGCUGUAUUAUGUGUUGUUAAGCUUUGUUUUAUUUCAGUUCACACGCUGAAGAGUUAGGAGGUGUGAAUCCUAUAGUCUCGCGGGUGUUGUAGCGGACAGUUGUUGUGUUCAUCGUCGACGUGUUAGGAAGAUAAACGCUUUCUGCCAAUAAAUCGUCGAAUAAUUGUCCAGCAACGCAAUUUUUUUUAUACCAUCUGGAAUUCACCAAUAGUGUUGAUCGAGUCGUGGAUCUGCUUUGACGCGAUAGACCAUUUCAUAAGUAGAGGCUGUUUCAGAGGAGGUGAACAUAAAAUUUGAAACUGAGUUCAGUAUACAGAAAUUGAACAGACACAUUUCAAGGUUAUUUCACUAAAAGCGGUCGGCAAUUUGUACAUUAAAGACAGUCAAUUACGCUCCAUACUAAAGGAAGAUUCCUAAUUGAGAAGGUCUAAGAAGAUACUACAAGAAAGAUGUUGCGAUUUUCUCGCUUUUUCCUUGCUGUCUUCAUGCUCGUUGCACUGAUGCAUCUCUCUCAGGAAGAGACGACAACAGAGUUACCCUUCCUCUUGGAGAGAAUGAAGCAAAGCGUUAAAGUAGGACAGACCAAAAUAUACAACACUGUGUUCGAUUUAAUGACGACUACAGACACGACUACAGAGAUGAGUACUAUGACGAUGGAAGAAGAUGAUUUUGAAUUGACUAACAGGCAAUUAAUUGUAGUACCCAACAGAUGCCCGUCCGGCUCUGAUCUCAUACGGGGAAGCUGUCGUACAAGAGUUUACUGAAGUGAAAAAUGUAAAAUCGAGAUUUGGAAACGUCCUAUAUAUCAUACCAUAUACUUUUAGAAAAUUCUAAUAAUUUACUUUCUUUAUGACUUUUAUCAGGAGUAGAAUAAAAUAUAGUAGAGUCGGGAUUUUGAAACGCCCUAUACAUCGUGGUAAUAUAUUUGUACGAAUAUUCUGUUUUUUUAUCCCAAUUAAAAUAAAAUAUAUCAGAUAGAUAAAAGUC